rnacentral:tRNA from 1 species
GUCAUAUGUACGAGAGUUUAAGGAGACAGACUUGAAAUCUGUUGGGCUUCGCCCUCGCAGGUUCGAAUCCUGCUGUUGACG